AAGGUGCCUUGCCUCAAAGUAUAGUAUCUCCUUAUAUCGGUUUAAAUUACUUGCCAAGUAAUACAACUGAUGAUAGCAUACAAAAUGCAGUGCCAGUCUCCAGUCCUGGUUUGACAAUUGAGACAUAGUGAGUUUUACAAAGCAAACGAAGUUUGAAUAAAAUCAGUUCAGAAAUGUUAAGGUACUGAAGAAGGCCCUCUGGAUGUGUGCCAUAUUUUACUUUAAGGCUGUCUGUAUAGAAGUUUGAGUGCCUUUACUCCGUCCAGCAACUAGUCAAUCCAAUUGCAGCAAGUAGUCACAGUGGCCAUGCAAGGAGGAGAGAGAGAGGAUGUGCCAUCAUGGUGGGAAUUCUGGCUGCAUGAAGACUGAGAAAAAAUUUAUGUAAAGACUUCAAGAUCAGGAUCCAUACACAUUUCUUUGCUGAGCUGGUAUUUUCAGUCUGAUGGAGAGCAAAGUAAUGGUUGCACUGUGUUAUCCCACCUCCCUGGCUCCCAAAGCAUGAAGAGGAACGGAUCAGCCCUGGAGACAGAGUGGCAGCCAGCCCUGAAAGACAAGAGCCUCACUGCAGACAAAGAACAGUAAAGGAACUGAGCGUGCUCAGCAUACUGCAGCAGCAGCAGCCUCAUUAAUUCCAUCACCAGCCCAAUGAGUUUAAGCAAGCGCCAGGGGUAUUACAAUAGUUUGUAGCAAUAUGUUGCAUAAGUGAGCCCCAAAUCACUGUGCAGUUAUUUAGAAAGUACAUCUUGCAUACCACUAACAGGAGUGCUUUUAUUAAUGAUGUAUACCAGAAACACAAUAAGACAUCGCAGCUACUCCGUAGCAAGACCUAUAAUUUUAAUGAUGUGAUGAAUAAGGCAAUUAAUGUACUUCAAUUUAUUCCCCAUAUGUAUCAUAUUUAAUGUCAGAAAACU